CAAUUUGGGGAAUUUUCCGCAAUGGGCGNAAGCCUGACGGAGCAACGCCGCGUGUGGGAAGAAGGCUCUUGGGCUGUCAACCACUUUUCUCAGGGAAGAAGUCCUGACGGUACCUGAGGAAUCAGCCUCGGCUAACUCCGUGCCAGCAGCCGCGGUAAUACGGAGGAGGCAAGCGUUAUCCGGAAUUAUUGGGCGUAAAGCGUCCGCAGGGGGCGCAUCAAGUCUGCUGUCAAAGGUCGGAGCUUAACUCCGGUUCGGCAGUGGAAACUGGUGCGUCUAGAGGGCGACA
rnacentral:rRNA from 1 species